AUUCCAGCUCCAAUAGCGUAUAUUAAAGUUGUUGCAGUUAAAAAGCUCGUAGUUGGAUUUCUGGACGGAGCAGCCGGUCCGCCGCUGUGCGGUGUGUACUCGUGCUUGACUCGGUUCAUCCUUGUGGGGAAGCGCAUUUCGGCAUUCAGUUGUCGAGGCGGGGAACCACAUCAUUUACUGUGAAAAAAUUAGAGUGUUUAAAGCAGGCAUUUUGCUGUGAAUACAUUAGCAUGGAAUAAUAACAUAGGACUUUGAUUCUAUUUUGUUGGUUAUUGAACCUUAGUAAUGAUUAACAGGGACAGUUGGGGGCAUUAGUAUUUAAUUGUCAGAGGUGAAAUUCUUGGAUUUAUUAAAGACUAACUUAUGCGAAAGCAUUUGCCAAGGAUGUUUUCAUUG
rnacentral:rRNA from 1 species